UAGUAACGGCGAGUGAAGAGGGAAAAGCUCAAAUUUUGAAUCUGGUGUCUUUGGCGCCCGAGUUGUAAUCUAGAGAAGUGUUUUCUGCCUCGGACCACACAUAAAUUCCCUGGAAUGGGGUGUCAUAGAGGGUGAGAAUCCCGUUUGUGGUGUGGACUACCUUGGCUCUGUGAUACACUCUCAACGAGUCGAGUUGUUUGGGAAUGCAGCUCAAAAUGGGUGGUAAAUUCCAUCUAAAGCUAAAUAUUGGCGAGAGACCGAUAGCGAACAAGUACCGUGAGGGAAAGAUGAAAAGCACUUUGGAAAGAGAGUGAAACAGUACGUGAAAUUGUUGAAAGGGAAGCGUUUGAAGUCAGUCACAUCGGUCGGAAUUCAGCCUGGCUUUGCCUGGUGUACUUUUUGGCAGAUGGGUCAGCGUCAAUUUUGACUGAGGGAAAAAGACUUGAGGAAUGUGGCUGUCUUCGGGCAGUGUUAUAGCCUCUUGUUGUAUGUCUCAGUUGGGAUUGAGGACCGCAGCACGCCUUAUGGCCGGGGUUCGCGCCCUCGGAACGUGCUUAGGA
rnacentral:rRNA from 1 species